GACGAAAGCUGGCGGCGUGCUUAACACAUGCAAGUCGAGCGGAGCGGCGAACGGGUGAGUAACGCGUGAGUAACUGCCCCCCUCUCUGGGAUAACAGUUGGAAACGGCUGCUAAUACCGGAUAGUGGGGGAUGACUCGCGUCCUAUCAGCUUGUUGGUGGGGUAGUGGCCUACCACGGCGACGACGGGUAGCCGGCCUGAGGGGGCGUCCGGCCACAAUGAGCUGAGAUUCGGCCCAAACUCCGUCGGUGGGCAGCGGUGGGAGAUAAUGCACACAGGGGGAAACCCUGAAGCAGCAACGCCGCGUGCGGGAUGACGGCCUUCGGGUUGUAGACCGCUAUCAGCAAUGACGCGGUAGUGGCAGAAGAAGCACCGGCUAACUACGUGCCAGCAGCCGCGGUAAUAC
rnacentral:rRNA from 1 species